rnacentral:rRNA from 1 species
GUCUUUGGUUGAUCUUGAAAAAUUAUGCAGAAUUAGACCUGGUUAGUACUUGGAUGGGAGACCACCAAUAACUUCCAGGACUGUAGACU